GAAGAACAAAGUGUGUCUGGGGGCAUCAUUGACAUAAAAGUAUAUUCACUCCAGGCUGUUACGCCAUUUCAUAGCCACUGAGUGAUCUUGGGAGGAUAUUUUAUGGGAGGCUGUGAGCAGUAACUACUGCUAUUCACAUUUUAAAGAAGAAACAGAAACACAGCGUUUAAAUUAUGGAGUGUAGAUCUCACAGAUGGAAAAGCAGUGAU
rnacentral:lncRNA from 1 species